rnacentral:rRNA from 1 species
GACGAACGCUGGCGGCGCGCCUAACACAUGCAAGUCGAACGGGGUCUUUUAGGAAGCUUGCUUCCUGGCUGACCUAGUGGCGGACGGGUGAGUAACACGUGAGCAACCUGCCGAAGAGUGGGGGAUAACGUUUGGAAACGAACGCUAAUACCGCAUAACAUCGGGGAAAGGCAGCUUUUCCCGAUCAAAGGAGCAAUCCGCUUUUUGAUGGGCUCGCGCCCGAUCAGAUAGUUGGUGAGGUAAUGGCUCACCAAGUCAACGAUCGGUAGCCGGACUGAGAGGUUGAACGGCCACAUUGGGACUGAGACACGGCCCAGACUCCUACGGGAGGCAGCAGUGGGGAAUAUUGCACAAUGGGGGAAACCCUGAUGCAGCGACGCCGCGUGAAGGAUGAAGUAUUUCGGUAUAUAAACUUCUAUCAGCAGGGAAGAAAAUGACGGUACCUGACUAAGAAGCCCCGGCUAAUUACGUGCCAGCCGCCGCUGUAAGAC